GACGAACGCUGGCGGCGUGCUUAACACAUGCAAGUCGAACGGAAAGGCCCUGCUUUUGUGGGGUGCUCGAGUGGCGAACGGGUGAGUAACACGUGAGUAACCUGCCCUUGACUUUGGGAUAACUUCAGGAAACUGGGGCUAAUACCGGAUAGGAGCUCCUGCUGCAUGGUGGGGGUUGGAAAGUUUCGGCGGUGGGGGAUGGACUCGCGGCUUAUCAGCUUGUUGGUGGGGUAGUGGCUUACCAAGGCUUUGACGGGUAGCCGACCUGAGAGGGUGACCGGCCACACUGGAACUGAGAGACGUGCAAGAGUACUACGGGAAGCAGCGGUAGGGAAUCCUCCGCAAUGGGCGGAAGCCUGACGCAGCAACGUCGGGUGAGUGAUGAAGGUCUUGUGAGCGUAAAACCCUGUUAUGAGGGAAGAACAAAUGUCGAAGUAACUAUGCAAGUCUGGACGGGAACUAAUCAGAAAGCCAAGGCGAACUACGUG
rnacentral:rRNA from 1 species